rnacentral:rRNA from 1 species
UACGUAGGCAGCGAGCGUUGUUCGGAGUUACUGGGCGUAAAGAGUGCGUAGGCGGUUUUCUAAGUUUGGUGUGAAAUCUCCCGGCUUAACUGGGAGGGUGCGCCGAAAACUGGAAGGCUGGAGUAUGGGAGAGGUAAGCGGAAUUCCUGGUGUAGCGGUGAAAUGCGUAGAUAUCAGGAGGAACACCUGCGGUGUAGACGGCUUACUGGACCAUAACUGACGCUGAGGCACGAAAGCGUGGGUAGCAAACAGG